AGCAGCAAAAAGAAUCAACGCAAAAGCACGUUCCUGUAAUUUAUCAUAAUUAUAUUCGUGCACGCAAAGUUUCUGUUUUUCAGCAGAAUCAAAUCAACUAUCAUCGUAGGUUAUCCUAUAGGUCCUACUUGGCACAAACACUAAUUAAAACAUAAAACCACAUCCAAACAGAAGGUAGAUGGAUUAUUUAUUCCUAAACAGAAGCAAAAAAACACAAAAUAAAAUUGGGUUGCCUCCCAACAAGGCUAUCGUUUAACGCCCCUAGCUAGGCAUAAAAACGAGGAUAGAUCUAGGUAUUGCCAUCUUUGGUGGGCAAUUCUUCAAUGAGGCAUUUACCUCCUUUAGAAUUUUCUUUCUUCCUAGUAAUUGUCAAAUUUUCAGGCAAGAGAUCGAAAAAUUCAUCUAUAGCAAAUGGUUCCUUAAUGAUGGUAAAAAGAUUGGGAUGAACACUGAUAGAUUUAAGAUCCGCGGUUUCCGUACUAGAUGAUUCACCCUUAUUCUUAGGAACAUACAUAAGCUUAGUAUUUUUAGUAGAGGAACUUGGAGUGUUUUGAACGGAAGAAAAAGCGGUUCCCAAGUUGGUAAUGAUACCCUCAAGUUUAUCGAUUCUUGUGGAAUCUAGAUUUAUUUUCUCAUUAACUAUGUGUUCUUUCUCUUUAAUAUUUUUCAAAGUCGUUCCUACCUUAGAUCCAUAUUGGGUAAUUUUAUUGUGGAUCUUUUUAUCAAGAUUUUCAAUUGAUUCAAUGGUAGCAACUUUAUUUUCAAUAGCUUCAAGCCUUUGCAUAACAUGCUCCAAAGUUAACGUAGUUCCAUUAAUCGAAAGGGGUGGUGAGCCAAAUAUAUCUAUUAAAGCAUUAUAAGAAUCAAAAGUAUGGCUACCCUAAAAAUUCCCUCCGAUAAUGGUAUCAAGGAUAUAUCUAAACCAAGGAUUAGCACCUACGUAAAAAUUGCGAAGAAGAACUGAAGUAGAUUGCUUCCUGGUAGAUCUAUUUUGAGCAUUGCAAAUUCUAUACCAAGCAUCUUUUAGAUUUUCUCCCUCCCUUUGCUUAAAAUUUAAAACUUCAUUCUCGGGAGAUAAUGGAGAAGAUAAGAAACUAGUCAUGAUGACAAGCAAACAAACGAGCUAGCACACAAGAAAACAAAAAGGCAAAGGGAAAAAUGCAAACGAAAAGAGAGGAGGAGAUUGGGAAAGAGAGGGCAAAUAAAACGGCAAGGGUGAAGUGGGGGAGAGGAAAACGAGAGGCAAAUGGAAAAUAAUGUAAUGCGAGAGAUAGGGAUUGCGAUGGGUACUUGGUAUGGUUGACUUGCUUGCGUGAGCCUCCCCGGCAACGGAGCCAGAAAUUCUUCUUCCUACCUCUUGAGCACUGCGUUCGAUUUCCCCGAAGAGGAGAGGAUGAUGCAGUAAAGUAGCGUAAGUAUUUCCCUCAGUUUUUGAGAACCAAGGUAUCAAUCCAGUAGGAGACCACACACAAGUCCCUCGUACCUACACAAAACGAUAGCAACUCGCAACCAACACUUAGGGGUUGUCAAUCCCUUCACGGUCACUUACGAGAGUGAGAUCUGAUAGAGAUAACAGUUUUGGUAUUUUUGAUAGAUAGAUGCAAAGUAAAAAGUAAAGGCAAAGUAAAAACAAAGCAAGUAAAUAAAGUGAUAUAGAUUGAUAUGAUGAGAAUAGACCCCGGGGCCAUAGGUUUCACUAGUGGCUUCUCUCGAGAGCAUAACUAUUCUACGGUGGGUGAACAAAUUACUGUUGAGCAAUUGACAGAAUUGAGCAUAGUUAUGAGUAUAUCUAGGCGAUGAUCAUGUAUAUAGGCAUCACGUCCAAAACAAGUAGAUCGAAACGAUUCUGCAUCUACUACUAUUACUCCACUCAUCGACCACUAUCCAGCAUGCAUCUAGAGUAUUAAGUAAAAACAGAGUAACACCAUAAGCAAGAUGACAUGAUGUAGAGGGAUAAAUUCAUGCAAUAUGAUAAAAAAACCCAUCUUGUUAUCCUCGAUGGCAACAAUACAAUACGUGCCUUGCAACUCUUUCUGUCACUGAGUAAGGACACCGCAAGAUUGAACCCAAAGCUAAGCACUUCUCCCAUUGCAAGAACUACCAAUCUUGUUGGCCAAACCAAAAAGAUAAUUCAAAGAGACUUGCAAAGAUAACUCAAUCAUACAUAAAAGAAUUCAGAGAAGAAUCAAAUAUUUUCCAUAGAUAAUACUGGAUCAUAAACCCACAAUUCAUCGGUCUCAACAAACACACUGCAAAAAGAAGAUUACAUCGAAUAGAUCUCCACGAGAGAGGGGGAGAACAUUAUAUUGAGAUCCAAAAAGAGAGAAGAAGCCAUCUAGCUACUAGCUAUGGACCCGAAGGUCUGAAGUAAACUACUCACACUUCAUCGGAGGGGCUAUGGUGAUGAUGUAGAAGCCCUCCGUGGUGGAUGCCCCCUCCGGCGGAGCUCCGGAACAGGCCCCAAGAUGGGUCUCGUGGAUACAAAAAGUUGCGGCGGUGGAAUUAGGUUUUUGGCUCCUGUUCUGAUCGUUCGGGGAUACGUAGGUAUAUAUAGGAGGAAGGAGUAUGUCGGUGGAGCUCCGAGGGGCCCACGAGGUAGGGGGGCGCGCCCUCCACCCUCGUGACCGCCUCUGGCGCUUCUUGGAGUAGGGUCCAAGUCUCCUGGGUCACAUUCGGUUGGAAAAUCACGAUCCCGAAGGUUUCAUUCCGUUUGGACUCCGUUUGAUAUUCUGUUUCUUCGAAAUACUGAAAAAGGCAAAAAACAGCAAUUCUGGGCUAGGCCUCCGGUUAAUAGGUUAGUCCCAAAAGUAAUAUAAAAGUGAAGAAUAAAGCCCAAUAUAGUCCAAAACAGUAGAUGAAGUAGCAUGGAGCAAUCAAAAAUUAUAGAUACGUUGGAGACGUAUCAAGCAUCCCCAAGCUUAAUUCCUGCUCGUCCUCGAGUAGGUAAAUGAUAAAAAAGAAUUUUUGAUGCGGAGUGAUACUUUGGCAUAAUUUCAAUGUAAAUCUUCUUAAUUGUGAUAUGAAUAUUCAGAUCCGAAAGAUUCAAGACAAAAGUUCAUAUUGACACAAAAAUAAUAAUACUUCAAGCAUACUAAUCAAAGCAAUCAUGUCUUCUCAAAACAACAUGGCAAAAGAAAGUUCAUCCCUACAAAAUCAUAUAGUUAGGCUAUGCUUCAUUUUCGUCACACAAAGAUGUUCCCAACUUCUAUACCCCCGAUGACAAGCCAAGCAAUUGUUUCAUACUUAAAUAAUCUCAAACUUUUUCAACCUUCACGCAAUACAUGAGCGUGAGCCAUGGAUAUAUCACUAUGGGUGGAAUAGAAUAUGAUGAUGGGGAUUGUGUGGAGAAGACAAAAAAGGAGAAAGUCUCACGUUGACGAGGCUAAUCAACGGGCUAUGGAGAUGCCCAUCAAUUGAUGUCAACAUGAGGAGUAGGGAUUUCCAUGCAACGGAUGCACUAGAGCUAUGAAUGCUCAACAAAAGAAAAUUAGUGGGUGUGCAUCCAACUUGCUUGCUCACGAAGACCUAGGGCAUUUUAAGGAAGCCCAUCGUAGGAAUAUACAAGCCAAGUUCUAUAAUGUAAAAUUCCCACUAGUGUAUGAAAGUGACAACACAUGAGACUCACUAUAUGAAAAACAAGGUGCUACUUUGAAGCACAAUAUAUGAGACUCUUUACAUGAAGAACAAGGUGCUACUUUGAAGCACAAUAUAUGAGACUCUCUACAUGAAGAACAAGGUGCUACUUUGAUGCACAAGUGUGGAAAAAGAGAUAGUAUCAUUGCCCUUUUUAUAUUUUUUGGGCCUUUCUUUUUUUCUUUUUGGCCUUUCUCUCUUUUUUUUGGGCCUUUCUUUUUUUUUCUUUUUGGCCUUUCUCUUUUUUUGGGCAAUGCUCUAAUAAUGAUGAUCAUCACACUUCUAUAAAUCACAACACAAGGAUUACAACUCGAAACUUAGAACAAGAUAUGACUCUAUAUGAAUGCCUCUGGCGGUGUACCGGGAUGGUGCAAUGAAUCAAGAGUGACAUGUAUAAAAAAUAAUGCAUGGUGGCUUUGCCACAAAUACGAUGUCAACUACAAGAUCAUGCAAUGGCAAUAUGACAAAAGUAAUGCAUGUCAUGAUGAUGAUGGUGGAAGUUGCAUGGCAAUAUAUCUCGGAAUGGCUAUGGAAAUGCCAUAAUAGGUAGGUAUGAUGGCUGUUUUGAGGAAGAUAUAAGGAGGUUUAUGUGUGAUAGAGCGUAUCGUAUCACAGGGUUUGGAUGCACCGGCGAAGUUUGCACCAACUCUCAAGGUGAGAAAGGGCAAUGCACUGUACCGAAGAGGCUAGCAAUGGCGGAAAGGUGAGAGUGCAUAUAAUCCAUGGACUCAACAUUAGUCAAAAGAACUCAUAUACUUAUUGCAAAAAUUUAGAAGUCAUCAAAAAUUCAAGUACUACGCGCAUGCUCCUAGGGGGAUAGAUUGGUAGGAAAAGACCAUCGCUCGUCCCCGACCGCCACUCAUAAGGAUGCACAAGCCAGGUAAACUUCAUGUUUCAAAUUUGUUACACAACUUUAACCAUACGUGCAUGCUACGGGAUUUGCAAACUUCAACACAAGUAUUUCUCAAAUUCAUAAUCACCCAACUAGCACGACUAUGAUAUUAUCGCCUCCAUAUCUCAAAACAAUUAUCAAGCAUCAAACUUAUCUUAGUAUUCAAUUCACUCAAAAGAAAGGUUCACAUAUCUUGAACACCAAGUAUAUUAACAUUAAGCAAAUUACCAUGCUAUUAAAGACUCUAAAAAUAAUCUAAGCGAAGCAUGAGAGAUCAAAUAGUUUCUUUAAAACAAAUCCACCACCGUGCUCUAAAAAGAUCUAAGUGAAGUACUAGAGCAAAAAUUAUUACGCACAAAAGAUAUAAGCGAAGCACAUAGAGUAUUCUAACAAAUUCUAAAUCAUGUAUGGCUCUCUCAAAAGAUGUGUACAGCAAGGAUGAUUGUGGUAAACUAACAAGCAAAGACACAAAUAAUACAAGAUUCUCCAAGUAAAACACAUAUCAUGUUGGUGAAUAAAAAUAUAGCUCCAAGUAAAUUACCGAUGGAAGUGGACGAAAGAGGGGAUGCCUUCUGGGGCAUCCCCAAGCUUUGAAUUUUUGGUGUCCCUGGAUUAUCUUGGGGGUGCCAUGGGAAUCCCCAAGCUUAGGCUCUUGCCACUCCUUGUUCCAUAAUCCAUCAAAAGAAUUCACCCAAAACUUGAAAACUUCACAACACAAAACUCAACAGAAAUCUCGUGAGCUCCGUUAGAGAAAGAAAACAAAAGACUACUUCAAGGUAUUGUAAUUAACUCAUUCUUUGUUUAUAUUGGUGUUAAACCUACUGUAUUCCAACUUCUCUAUGGUUUAUAAACUAAUUUACUAGUCAUAUAUUCAUCAAAAUAAGCAAACAACACACGAAAAACAGAAUCUGUCAAAAACAGAACAGUCUGUAGCAAUCUGUAACUAACGCAAACUUCUGGAACUCUACAAACUCUACCAAAAUAGGAAGUCCUGGACAAUUUGUUAUUGAUCAGCAGCAAAAAGAAUCAAUGCAAAAGAACGUUCCUGUAAUUUAUCAUAAUUAUAUUCGUGCGCGCAAAGUUUCUGUUUUUCAGUAGAAUCAAAUCAACUAUCAUCGUAGGUUAUCCUAUAGGCCCUACUUGGCACAAACACCAAUUAAAACAUAAAACCACAUCCAAACAGAAGGUAGAUGGAUUAUUUAUUCCUAAACAGAAGCAAAAACAAAAAACACAAAAUAAAA
rnacentral:lncRNA from 1 species